rnacentral:rRNA from 1 species
GAGUUUGAUCAUGGCUCAGGACGAACGCUGGCGGCGUGCUUAACACAUGCAAGUCGAACGGUGACCAGGACUUCGGUCCUGCGAUCAGUGGCGAACGGGUGCGUAACACGUGGGCAACCUGCCCCAGACUCUGGGAUAACCCCGGGAAACCGGAGCUAAUACCGGAUACUUUCACGGAACCACAUGGCUCUGUGAUGAAAGAACUUCGGUCUGGGAUGGGCCCGCGGCCUAUCAGCUUGUUGGUGAGGUAACGGCUCACCAAGGCGACGACGGGUAGCUGGUCUGAGAGGACGACCAGCCACACUGGGACUGAGAUACGGCCCAGACUCCUACGGGAGGCAGCAGUGGGGAAUCUUGCGCAAUGGGCGAAAGCCUGACGCAGCGACGCCGCGUGGGGGAUGAAGGCCUCGGUUGUAACCCUUCGUACAGGAAGAAGACGAAGUAGACGGUACCGUGUAGAAGAAGUA